UUAGUAAAGUGGCGUACGGGUGCGUAACACGUAAGUAAUCUACCUUUGGGUUCGGAAUAACUUCGGGAAAUCGGAGCUAAUACCGGAUAAUGCAGCGGCACCGCAUGGUGAUGUUGUUAAAGUUUGUGUAAUGCCUAAAGAUGAACUUGCGUCUGAUUAGCUAGUUGGUGAGGUAAUGGCUCACCAAGGCUGCGAUCAGUAGCUGGUCUGAGAGGAUGAUCAGCCACACUGGAACUGAGACACGGUCCAGACUCCUACGGGAGGCAGCAGUGAGGAAUAUUGGGCAAUGCCCGAAAGGGUGACCCAGCAACGCCGCGUGGAGGAUGAAGGUCGUAAGAUUGUAAACUCCUGUUAGAGGGGAAGAAUAACUAAGUUUGGAGCUUAGUAUGACUGUACCCUCAGAGAAAGCCCCGGCUAACUACGUGCCAGCAGCC
rnacentral:rRNA from 1 species